rnacentral:rRNA from 1 species
UAGAGUUUGAUCCUGGCUCAGAGUGAACGCUGGCGGCAGGCCUAACACAUGCAAGUCGAGCGGCAGCACGGGUAGCAAUACCUGGUGGCGAGCGGCGGACGGGUGAGGAAUACAUCGGAAUCUGCCUUGUUGUGGGGGAUAACGUAGGGAAACUUACGCUAAUACCGCAUAAGACCGUAAGGUGAAAGCGGGGGAUCGCAAGACCUCGCGCGACAAGAUGAGCCGAUGUCGGAUUAGCUAGUUGGCGGGGUAAAGGCCCACCAAGGCGACGAUCCGUAGCUGGUCUGAGAGGAUGAUCAGCCACACUGGAACUGAGACACGGUCCAGACUCCUACGGGAGGCAGCAGUGGGGAAUAUUGGACAAUGGGCGCAAGCCUGAUCCAGCCAUGCCGCGUGGGUGAAGAAGGCCUUCGGGUUGUAAAGCCCUUUUGUCCGGGAAGAAAUCGUACGGGCGAAUAUCCCGUGCGGAUGACGGUACCGGAAGAAUAAGCACCGGCUAACUUCGUGCCAGCAGCCGCGGUAAUGCCCAAUCGCC